AAUCAACGCUGGCGGCGUGCCUCAGACAUGCAAGUCGAACGCGAAAGUCUCCUUCGGGGGACAAGUAGAGUGGCGCACGGGUGAGUAACACGUAGGUAAUCUACCUUCGGAUGGGGAAUAACAACCGGAAACGGUUGCUAAUACCGCAUAAUGCAGCGGCACCUAAUGGUGACAGUUGUUAAAGCGGGGGAUCGAAAGACCUCGCGUCUGAAGAGGAGCCUGCGGCGGA
rnacentral:rRNA from 1 species